GGGCCCGUAGCUCAGAGGUGGAGCGCCGGCCUUAUAAGCCGGAGGUCAGGGGUUCGAGUCCCCUCGGGCCCA
rnacentral:tRNA from 4 species